rnacentral:rRNA from 1 species
CCUACGGGAGGCAGCAGUGAGGAAUAUUGGUCAAUGGGCGCUAGCCUGAACCAGCCAUGUAGCGUGAAGGAUGACUGCCCUAUGGGUUGUAAACUUCUUUUAUAUGGGAGUAAAGUGCAGUAUGUAUACUGCUUUGCAUGUAUCUUAUGAAUAAGGAUCGGCUAACUCCGUGCCAGCAGCCGCGGUAAUACGGAGGAUCCGAGCGUUAUCCGGAUUUAUUGGGUUUAAAGGGUGCGUAGGCGGGUUGUUAAGUUAGUGGUGAAAGUUUGCGGCUCAACCGCGAAAUUGCAGUUGAUACUGGUAGCCUAGAGUGUAGUAGAGGUAGGCGGAAUGCGUGGUGUAGCGGUGAAAUGCUUAGAGAUCAUGAAGAACUCCGAUUGCGAAGGCAGCCUACUAGGCUAUAACUGACGCUGAGGCUCGAAAGUGUGGGUAUCAAACAGGAUUAGAUACCCCUGUAGUC